CAGUAGCCGCGGUAACACGGAGGGUGCAAGCGUUAAUCGGAAUUACUGGGCGUAAAGCGCACGCAGGCGGUUUGUUAAGUCAGAUGUGAAAUCCCCGAGCUUAACUUGGGAACUGCAUUUGAAACUGGCAAGCUAGAGUCUUGUAGAGGGGGGUAGAAUUCCAGGUGUAGCGGUGAAAUGCGUAGAGAUCUGGAGGAAUACCGGUGGCGAAGGCGGCCCCCUGGACAAAGACUGACGCUCAGGUGCGAAAGCGUGGGGAGCAAACAGGAUUAGAUACCCGCGUAGUCCCUGUCUCUUAUAA
rnacentral:rRNA from 1 species